NGCAUUCUGGUUCAUUCGCUNAUGUGUUAAUAAAUUUGAACCGAUACUAUUAAAUAGGUGAUUUUCCACUGUCGUUGUUGUGCAAUACCUAAUAGGGAAGCCUGAUCUGACAUGAUGUUCACCACCUGAACUUUCGGUUCAGGUAUAACACAUGGCGAUGAUCUGGUUUGUUA
rnacentral:other from 1 species